rnacentral:tRNA from 1 species
GGGUCUGUGGCAGAGCGGUUGAAUGCACCGGUCUUGAAAACCGGCGUGGAGAAAUCCAUCGUGAGUUCGAAUCUCACCGGACCCGCCA